UACAGAGGGUGCAAGCGUUGUUCGGAAUUAUUGGGCGUAAAGGGUGCGUAGGCGGUGCGGUAAGUCUGUAGUGAAAUCUCUGGGCUCAACUCAGAGUCUGCUAUAGAAACUGCCGUGCUUGAGUGUGGGAGAGGUGAGUGGAAUUCCCGGUGCAGCGGUGAAAUGCGUAGAUAUCGGGAGGAACACCUGUGGCGAAAGCGGCUCACUGGACCACAACUGACGCUGAUGCACGAAAGCUAGGGGAGCAAACAGG
rnacentral:rRNA from 1 species